AACGAACGCUGGCGGCGCGCCUAAUACAUGCAAGUCGAGCGAGAAGACGUAGCAAUACGUUUGUAAAGCGGCGAACGGGUGAGGAAUACAUGGGUAACCUACCCUCGAGUGGGGAAUAACUAGCCGAAAGGUUAGCUAAUACCGCGUACGCUCCUUGGACUUCGGUUCAGGGAGGAAAGCGAUACCGUGGGUAUCGCGCUCUUGGAUGGGCUCAUGUCCUAUCAGCUUGUUGGGAGGUAACGGCUCACCAAGGCUUCGACGGGUAGCUGGUCUGAGAGGACGAUCAGCCACACUGGCACUGCGACACGGGCCAGACUCCUACGGGAGGCAGCAGUAAGGAAUAUUGCGCAAUGGGCGAAAGCCUGACGCAGCGACGCCGCGUGGGGGAUGAAGGUCUUCGGAUUGUAAACCCCUUUCGGGAGGGAAGAUGGAACGAGCAAUCGUUCGGACGGUACCUCCAGAA
rnacentral:rRNA from 1 species